GUCUACGUUCAUACCACUCUGAACACACCUCAUCUCGGAAGCUAAGCAGGGUCAGGCCUGGUUAGUACUUGGAUAGGAGACCACCUACUGUAGGCU
ensembl:rRNA nuclear encoded rRNA 5S 62